UGCCUUUGUCUUUGACCCUGAGAAGUUAAG
rnacentral:piRNA from 1 species